ACGGGGAGCAGCAGGCGCGAAACCUUCACAAUGUGCGAGAGCGCGGUGAGGGGAUCCCAAGUGCUAGCUCGAAAGGGUUAGCUGUUGCCUUGUCUAAAAAGCAGAGUGAGUAAGGGCUGGGUAAGACGGCUGCCAGCCGCCGCGGUAAUAGCUGCAGCCCGAGUGGUGACCACUAUUAUUGGGCCUAAAACGUCCGUAGCCGGCCUGGUAAAUACCUGGGUAAAUCGUGUAGCUUAACUAUACGAAUUCCGGGUAGACUGCCAGGCUUGAGACCGAGAGAGGCUAGAGGUACUCCUGGGGUAGAGGUGAAAUUCUGUAAUCCUGGGGGGACCACCAGUGGCGAAAGCGUCUAGCCAAAACGGGUCUGACGGUGAGGGACGAAGCCCUGGGUCGCAAACCGGAUUAGAUACCCGGGUAGUCCAGGGUGUAAACGUUGCUUGCUUUAUGUUAGUUGGGCUACGAGCCUAGCUAGUGUCGGAGAGAAGUUGUUAAGCAAGCUGCCUGGGAAUUACGGUCGCAAGGCUGAAACUUAAAGGAAUUGGCGGGGGAGCAC
rnacentral:rRNA from 1 species